UGUUGCUUACUGGAAAGGAGAAGGGGAGAGGCAAGGUAGCAGGGAGGUCAGUGUGGUGCAAGCACAUUGGCAGGCGUGCCAGAGUGGCUCUGCCAAUGAGUUUGUAUUAUGACAACUUCCUUGCUUCCUUGCUCCUCUCCACCUCUUUCCCUGUAAGCAGA